UACGUAGGGUGCAAGCGUUGUCCGGAAUUAUUGGGCGUAAAGAGCUCGUAGGCGGUCUGUCGCGUCUGCUGUGAAAACUCAGGGCUUAACCCUGAGCUUGCAGUGGGUACGGGCAGACUAGAGUGCGGUAGGGGAGACUGGAAUUCCUGGUGUAGCGGUGAAAUGCGCAGAUAUCAGGAAGAACACCAAUGGCGAAGGCAGCUCUCUGGGACGGUACUGACGCUGAGACGCGAAAAGCGUGGGGGAGCGAACAGG
rnacentral:rRNA from 1 species